AUUUUCUACUACUUUUGGAGCUUCAACGUUUUGCUGUUUCAGAGAUGCAGCAGUAGGUAAUAUGAGUAACUUCAGUUAUCCAAGCGGCUGUCUUUGUAAUAGAUGCCACAAAUUCCUUGAGUAGUCCAACUUGUGAAAACCCUCCACCACCGUCAGAAUGGUAUCCACCUUACACAUCCUUAUUCCAUUGAUGAUCUUUACCUUCAAAGUUAACCCAUGUAAAUUAGUCAUCGAUCUUUACUUAUCUGGCUACAAGAACGUAGAAGUUAGUGAAGCUGAUGCAGUGACAGUGCCAUUUGAGACAGAUGAUAGAUAUAACUCAUUAGCAGCUGAUGCUUACAGCAAAACUUAUGAAGUGGAAGGCGAGUGGAUCCCAGAACCAGGGGAUGAAAAUGGCUUAGCUGAUGAUAUUAGAAGCACUGUGGAUGAAGGUAUACCUUACAGCAACACUUAUGAACUGGAAGAAGGUGAGUGGAUCCCAGACAUGGAGGACGAAUAUGGCAUAGCUGAUAGAAGUUUCCAUAGAUGAAGCUAUCUUGUUGGAUGAAGAGAAAUGGCGAGCUCAAUAUGGUCAAGUUGCUGAAUCAGGGAAAGAUCUGGUUUCGGAGGUUCCAGUUGUGGACUUGUGGGAUUGGGAAAUGGUUACGGGAUCCAAAAGAGAUGGAAAAGAUAAGGUGGCAAGGUUGGUUGGUAGACUGGCGAAACCAUCUGCAAAACAACUUCCAUCUAUCCCUUCUAGAGGAGGGAAAUUAAGAUCUGCUCCCAUCUGUGAAGCACAUCUCGAUCUGGUACGAGUUAAAACAGGACGAGUGUACAGAUUGCGAAAUCCUAGCGCAAAAUGUGACUUCAUUAUCAACUUAUGAUUCUUCGAAUCCAACAGAACAUUGGGAUUUUCCCCAGCUAUCACCUUAUAGAAAAAUCACACAUCACUCUAAGUCCAGCGAAAGCUCUGCUUCAGCUUCGGUUGAAACCCUUAUUGAGAAGGAUUUGUCUGCAUCGACAAGUCAGCUCUCUGCAUCUAAGAAAAUAAAACAUCAAUACAGAGAUAGGACUGCUGAAAGAAGAAUAUCGCACGGUGGCUUUGGCAUGGGUCCAGGACAGAAGAAUCUGCCGGACAUUUAUAAUACACCAUCUUCACCUGUUGAUGAUUGUCUACAAGAAGCUACGGCAGAGGCCUUGGAGGUGUCAUUUGGAGCAGGUAGUUGUGCCAGAAAACUUCUAAAAAGCAUGGGUUGGAAGGAGGGGGAAGGGCUUGGUGGAACCUAUUCAACCAGUUGGAAACGUUGGUACUUCUGGUUUGGGAUGGUCUCGUUGAACUUGGCAGUGGCGUCACAUUGCCAAAUUGGUCUACCACGUUCGGAUAAUUGUCAAUUUUUUAACGCAUUCAUACAGAGAAAACCAUGCUCAAUAGUCAAUACAGUACGCAAGUACACGCUAUCCAACCAUGCUCAUGAGUUGUAUUAAAAAGUAGCUCCAUCUGGACUAUACUGCAGAAGCAUAAUCGUUCCUCAUAAAUAUCCACAGUUUCGCAAAAACAAUUAAUACAAUAUACAACAGUAAAAGA